GAUAUUAUAGGAUGAUUUAGGGUAUAUGGUUUAAACCCUAUCUAAUUUAAUUGAGUUAAUGAUUGAUUAUUGUUGUUUUUAUUGUUGGAGUUCAUUUUAAGUAAGAAACGGUUGAAACUAUAAAUUCGCAAACCCUAUACCCUGAUCAACGCUUGAAAUGUGUUUUCUUCUUUGUCAAUUUUUUUCUGUGUGUGUGUGUGUGUGAGAGAGAGAGAGAGAGAGAGAGAGAGAGAGAGAGAGAGAGAGAGAGAGAGAGAGAGAGAGAGAGAGAGAGAGAGAGAGAGAGAGAGAGAGAGAGAUCUGAAAUCUCUCCACCGCAUAUGCCAAAAGGUGAUUUUCGUCGCAGCCGCCAAAAUGCUCCUUCCCUUUGCUUUCCAGGAAGUUUCUACACCGGAAUAUGUACCUUCACCAGCGCAUACCACGGUGGAAGGGAUGACUCAAAGACACUCAGAGUGGGCCUUCCAGAGGCUUCUCAAGGAGAUGUGCGGUUCCAAUCAAACCAACAACACAAUCGAUUGGCCAGCUCCGGGCUCCCUCCGGUUCAGUCUAAUCAGUCUCUUUCAACCGUCGACAAAACCGCCAAUGUUGUUGAGAUUGAGAAGUAGUGCGGCUGUAUAAGAGCUUUGGAUUUGGUUCUUUGAUUUCAAUCUGUCUGCUUAGAUGACUGUGUAUAAGCUCUGAUGGAUCUCUGUUUGUUACAGACAUGUAACCUUGUGAGUUCACGACAAUGGUGGUCACAGAUGCUGAAGGUCCUUCUGUUGGGGAGAUUACUUGUGGAACUUUACUGCAAAAUUUGCAGAUAAAUCUCUCAACCAUAACUUUCUUUUUACAGCAUUGCAAGGCUUUUAUUAAUUCUUGUGUGGUGUGAAUUCUUUUUUGCAACAGAAAUCUUGGAUGAAGCGAUGAGUAAGAGUGUCUUGUUUACAAGAGAAAAUUUGAACAGGCUGUGACAUCUCAAGCCAUGGAGAUGAUGUAAGAGAACAUAGGCUUAAGGAGAUGGCAGAGAAAGCUAGUGGUGGUGGUGGUGAAGGUGAAGCCGAACAAGAAGAGAAGAAAGAGACGUACAGCUGUAGAUUUUGGUUUAUUAAGUAAAAGUUAGGUAUGAUUGUGAAGGUUUAUUAGUGGUAGAUUGAUAGGUUGUAUGCACUUGUGUGAUGGUUUGUAUGAAUGUGAUAAUGUUGUGUUAUAGGAUUUAAAUAAUUAUAUUGUUUUUUGGAUUUUUAAUAAUUUAAAUUGUUUUUAUUUUA